rnacentral:rRNA from 1 species
UACGUAGGGUGCAAGCGUUGUCCGGAAUUAUUGGGCGUAAAGAGCUCGUAGGCGGUUUGUCGCGUCUGCUGUGAAAACUCAGGGCUUAACCCUGAGCCUGCAGUGGGUACGGGCAGACUAGAGUGUGGUAGGGGAGAUCGGAAUUCCUGGUGUAGCGGUGGAAUGCGCAGAUAUCGAGGAGGAACACCGGUGGCGAAGGCGGAUCUCUGGGGCCAUAACUGACGCUGGAGGAGCGAAAGCAUGGGGAGCGAACAGG